UGUGUGUGUGUGUGUGUGUGUGUGUGUAGGCAGGUGAUCGAGGAGGCCUCUGCAGUGUUGAGGAACGCUGCAGGAAACUACUACGUGAACGAUAAGUCGACCGGAUCUGUUGUCGCUCAGCAACCGUUCGGAGGAGCCCGGGCCUCAGGUACGAAUGAUAAGCCGGGGGGGCCGCACUACGUCCUGCGCUGGACGUCUCCUCAGGUGGUGAAGCAGACUCACGUCCCCCUCACAGAGUGGAAGUACCCCUACAUGAACUGACCAAUCACAGCCCAGCAUCUGAUCAGCUGACCAAUCACAGCCCAGCAUCUGAUCAGCUGACCAAUCACAGCCCAGUAUCUGACCAAUCACAACCCUGGAUUAGACCAGUCGACUAAUCACAGCCCUGCAUCAGAUCAGCUGACCCUCUGAACACACGAGGGAAAUGGAGCGCUCCCUGUGUCUCUUCCUCUGCAGUCUGAUGCCCAACUUAUGUUUAAAAUACAGUUAGAGCUCAAUUAAGACCAAUAACAGCAAUAAAAUAACAUUUGAGUGUUUUUAAAUUCAAAAUGCACUGAUUCCAGCUCCUGGAUGUUUCCUCCUCCUCUGAUAAACUGGAUAUUGUUGUGUCUGGAUGUGAUUCAUCCACAAUGAAAAUCAUCAUGAACACUGAAAUAAGAAUAAUAUUUUAGGUGAACACUGGAACAUGACGAGUUCCUGUAUGUUACGUCUCUAAACGCAAAGACACUGUCGUCUAUGUGCGUUAGGUUUUCUAAUAAUUCAAUAACUUUUAUAGAUCUGUGAGGAAGUUUCCUCUUGUUUGAGUUUGUGUCGCAGUGAAAUGUGUCCCCUGAUUUGUGUCGCAGUGAAAUGUGUCCCCUGAUUUGUGUCGCAGUGAAAUGUGUCACAAGUUGAUGAUGUCAUUAUUUUUUCAAGGAGGGGUAUUUUCUUCCGUCCUCAAACGAAAAGCAGCUGAUUCACUUUAUCUUCCGAAGGUGCCUCUGUAAAUUCAGAUAUUUAAUUUUGACAAUAAAUAUUAUUAACGUC